rnacentral:lncRNA from 1 species
GGUUUUAUUCAUGUCGUCAACAAUGACUACAAUCACUGGUUCCUGUAUGCCAUUGGCGGCACCAGCAAUCCUACAAUUAUCAGCCAGGGAAAUAGGUAUUCAGCGCCAGGCUUUGGGGCUAAAGAGGUGACCUGUAGGGGCCUCUUAAAGCCGGGACAGUGGAAGAAUUGGAAUUGGGUAUCACAAGGUGACCACUUCGAGAACGGUGCCUUUUUUACACCAUCAGGUAAUCCAAGUGCCAGCAAGCAAUUUGGCGCCGACAAAAUGAUGCCUUUCAAACCUGGUCAAAUGGUCCCCGAACUCACAAAGUAUGCCGGACCACUAAGCUGCACAAUCGGCCGUCCUUGCUAAAAACUGCUAUUUUUAUAUGCAUAUGUCCUCCCUUUUUUACGUACAAUAUUUGAUACCCAAGCAUAGUACAUUUGGUAUCUUUUCUGAAUGAUUGUCAGUAAAUUUUCUUUUAUGCGAUCCCACCCUAUUCUCUUCUUCUCUCCUAGUAAUAGAUAAUCACAAUUUUUUUCUCACGCGUAACUGUGGAAAUCAUAAAUUUAGAACAUAAAUGUUUGUUUGAAAAUAACAUAUAAUGAAUAAUGAAAUGUGUGGUUUGAAAUAAAGUAACAAUAAUAACAUUGAUUAUCAUGGUGUUUUCAUCAAUCUUUAGUUGGUGUAGGCACCAAAUCAAUCAAAUACAUUAAUCUAACAUAUCUAGUAUAUAUAUUCUAUUGCAAGGUUUUUUUGGAUUUGUGGAAACCUUCAGUUUGAAGUGAGUUUAGAAUUCGCUAUGCGUCACCAAUCAUUUCAUGACAGGAAUGGAAAUUAAUGAAAUAAAAUAUUUGGUUAGAACUAAAGUUGCGUAAUUAAUUAAAAAUUUUAACAAUCGCGAGACCAUUUAGUUUCUAUAAAUUUUGUAUGUCCCAACUUACAUAUUCCGGGUAAUUAGUCAUUUGUCAAAACACAUCAAAGUGAGAAAAGAAAGAAACAAGAAUCAUGAGUCAUUCCUCAUAUAGUAAUAUUCGUAAUAAUGCAAUCGCAACGGUGAUUCCACCAGGUGUUCUUGCAUCACCAAGAACUAAAUUGAUUUUCUAGAACAAGAUUUAUAAUGGAGACAUCAAGUAUGUAUUUAAGGUUGUGUAUGAGUUAGAUUUCUUUAAGACUCAGCGGAGGGUCGGGGAGCCGCCCAAGACAUUGCUUUUACCAGUAUAAAGUCAACUACCGAAGCAAAAAAACUUGCAAAGCUGAGAGGACAUAGGAUUAAUAAUUCAGCACCUAUGUUUUGAGUUGCUCCAUAGUUGACGCAGUGGUAUUAGCUUAGUAAGGGCUUAAAUAAUCGUAUAGAUAUUUAUAAUUGAUGGACAUAAUAAAGUAUGCUUAACAAAUUUGAAAAUCAAAAAAGAAAAUCAAUGUCUUGGUACAGUGUUAAAUUUAUGGUUUUACUAGCAUAAUAAUUGAUUUGGGUUCAAAUCCCUUCGACAACAUAUUUUAUAUUCUUUUAAAACAAUAAGAAUUAAAAUAACCUUCAAUAAUAUAACUUAUUUUAAACAUGAAAGGAAUGUAUUUCUAAUUUCCGUAAUAGAGUCGAUGCUCGAUCGACUCAUGUCACCGAAUUAGUUAAGGACUUCAAUAAAUGUUAGUAUAGAUUGUAACAAUAAUGAAAUAUGCAUUAAAAAUCACCACAGAGGUUCAAUAUACACUCGAAUCUCUGUACUCUUUUAGACUUUUAAAAUUUGAAUACAUAGUACUUUUAUAUUCAAAGGUCCAAGUAAUAAAUUAGAGUCCAAUUCAUAUCACAUAUUCAGAUUUGAGAGAAAUAAAUAAACUCUCUUACCAAUUGAACUUUUAUUUUUUAAAUCAACCAAGUGCAAGGAUUAAAAUCUUGAAAUUGAAAGGAGAGAGGUUUCAUCUGGAAAUGUUGAAGAGUAAAGGGAUUGGAGGAUAAUUAGAGAUUUUUUUUUGUAAUUUCUGAAAUUAGACGUUUAGAAUGGUCUAAAAAAUACAAGAAAACCUCAACUGUUUCUAUCCAAAAAAAGGAAACAAAAUCCAACCAUUUUUUACGCACUUGAAACACUAGUAGCCAAGUGUGUUUUGUAAAUUUGGAAAUUUUCAUGAAUCCCGGUGUACUAUAAAUAGUGACAUAAUGAUGGUGUUCCAAGCAAAUCAUGCUCGAGUUCAAGUUUUUGGUGCCGUAGCUUGUCUCUCCUGUCCUAUUAGGGUCCUGUUUGCAUCCAACCAGUUGUUUCCAAGAGCUAGGCUUUGAUACUUAAAAUAAGAACCACUAUGGGUAUUUCUAGUUAUAGUUUCUUUCUGUUUUUAUUUGUUGUCAUAAUCCCAACCCUAGAAGCUCAUAUCGCUGAGUAUGACGAGUACUGGACGGCACGAGAAUUGGAAGCCAUUGAGAACCUGGACAAGGCCUAUCACUCCAACCCGGAGGAGGUGGUCCGCCAUUACAAUGACCACUUCUCUAGGACCAUGCUCGAGUUUUAUAUCACCAAAAGGGUGUUGGCAGAAUCAAAAAAGGGUCCCUGUGAGGUUACCAACCACGUUGACAGUUGCUGGCGAUGUGAUCCUGACUGGGAAAAGAAUAGGAAGAAGUUGGCCAACUGUGCCCCUGGAUUUGCUCGAGGUACUACCGGUGGAAAGGAUGGUGAGUUUUACGUGGUCACUGACCCUAUUGAUAAUGCUGCUGACCCCAAGCCUGGAACUCUGCGUCAUGCUGUCACCCAAACUGGACCACUUUGGAUCACUUUCAAAGGGUCCAUGACCAUCAAGCUGCAACAGGAGCUCAUUGUUACAAGUGAUAAGACCAUUGAUGCGAGGGGAGCCAAUGUGGAAAUUUGUAAUGGUGCUGGUAUCACUAUCCAAUUUGUGAAGAAUAUCAUUAUCCAUGGCCUUCAAAUCCAUCACAUUAUUCCCGCCAAGGGUGGCAAGAUCAAGGAUGGUGAAAACCACCAUGGGUUACGGGGUGACAGCGACGGAGACGGGGUGUCUAUUUUUGGAUCAACCAAUGUUUGGCUUGACCAUCUUGCCCUUCACCAUUGCGCCGAUGGCCUUAUCGAUGUCGUUCAAGGAUCAACUGCCGUUACCGUUUCUAACUGCCACUUCACUGACCAUAACGAUGUAAGCUUACUUUCCUUUCAAUUUUAAACUACGCACGAUGAGGAAUUUUUUGAUUGACAAAAAUAAUACAAUUGAAAUGAAAAAAAUUACAGGUGAUGUUGUUUGGAGCAAGCGACUCUUACAGUGCCGACAAGAAGAUGCAGGUCACUGUUGCUUUGAACCACUUCGGUAAAGGAUUGGUAGAGAGGAUGCCUAGGUGCCGAUUUGGUUUUAUUCAUGUCGUCAACAAUGACUACAAUCACUGGUUCCUGUAUGCCAUUGGCGGCACCAGCAACCCUACAAUUAUCAGCCAGGGAAAUAGGUAUUCAGCGCCAGGCUUUGGGGCUAAAGAGGUGACCUGUAGGGGCCUCUUAAAGCCGGGACAGUGGAAGAAUUGGAAUUGGGUAUCACAAGGUGACCACUUCGAGAACGGUGCCUUCUUUACACCAUCAGGUAAUCCAAGUGCCAGCAAGCAAUUUGGCGCCGACAAAAUGAUGCCUUUCAAACCUGGUCAAAUGGUCCCCGAGCUCACAAAGUAUGCCGGACCACUAAGCUGCACAAUCGGCCGUCCUUGCUAAAAAUGCUAUUUUUAUAUGCAUUUGUCCUCCCUUUUUUACGUACAAUAUUUGAUACCCAAGCAUAGUACAUUUGGUAUCUUUUCUGAAUGAUUGUCAGUAAAUUUUCUUUUAUGCGAUCCCACCCUAUUCUCUUCUUCUCUCCUAGUAAUAGAUAAUCACAAUUUUUUUCUCACGCGUGACUGUGGAAAUCAUAAAUUUAGAACAUAAAUGUUUGUUUGAAAAUAACAUAUAAUGAAUAAUGAAAUGUGUGGUUUGAAAUAAAGUAACAAUAAUAACAUUGAUUAUCAUGGUGUUUUCAUCAAUCUUUAGUUGGUGUAGGCACCAAAUCAAUCAAAUACAUUAAUCUAACAUAUCUAGUAUAUAUAUUCUAUUGCAAGGUUUUUUUGGAUUUGUGGAAACCUUCAGUUUGAAGUGAGUUUAGAAUUCGCUAUGCGUCACCAAUCAUUUCAUGACAGCAAUGGAAAUUAAUGAAAUAAAAUAUUUGGUUAGAACUAAAGUUGCGUAAUUAAUUAAAAAUUUUAACAAUCGCGAGACCAUUUAGUUUCUAUAAAUUUUGCAUGUCCCAACUUACAUAUUCGGGUAAUUAGUCAUUUGUCAAAACACAUCAAAGUGAGAAAAGAAAGAAACAAGAAUCAUGGUCAUUCCUCAUAUAGUUAUAUUCGUAAUAAUGCAAUCGCAACGGUGAUUCCACCAGGUGUUCUUGCAUCACCAAGAACUAAAUUGAUUUUCUAGAACAAGAUUUAUAAUGGAGACAUCAAGUAUGUAUUUAAGGUGGUGUAUGAGUUAGAUUUCUUUAAGACUCAGCGGGGGUCGGGGAGCCGCCCAAGACAUUGCUUUUACCAGUAUAAAGUCAAAUACCGAAGCAAAAAAACUUGCAAAGCCGAGAGGACAUAGGAUUAAUAAUUCAGCACCUAUGUUUUGAGUUGCUCCAUAGUUGACGCGUGGUAUCAGCUUAGUAAGGGCUUAAAUAAUCGUAUAGAUAUUUAUAAUUGAUGGACAUAAUAAAGUAUGCUUAACAAAUUUGAAAAUCAAAAAAGAAAAUCAAUGUCUUGGUACAGUGUUAAAUUUAUGGUUUUACUAGCAUAAUAAUUGAUUUGGGUUCAAAUCCCUUCGACAACAUAUUUUAUAUUCUUUUAAAACAAUAAGAAUUAAAAUAACCUUCAAUAAUAUAACUUAUUUUAAACAUGACAGGAAUGUAUUUCUAAUUUCCGUAAUAGAGUCGAUGCUCGAUCGACUCAUGUCACCGAAUUAGUUAAGGACUUCAAUAAAUGUUAGUAUAGAUUGUAACAAUAAUGAAAUAUGCAUUAAAAAUCACCACAGAGGUUCAAUAUACACUCGAAUCUCUGUACUCUUUUAGACUUUUAAAAUUUGAAUACAUAGUGCUUUUAUAUUCAAAGGUCCAAGUAAUAAAUUAGAGUCCAAUUCAUAUCACAUAUUCAGAUUUGAGAGAAAUAAAUAAACUCUCUUACCAAUUGAACUUUUAUUUUUUAAAUCAACCAAGUGCAAGGAUUAAAAUCUUGAAAUUGAAAGGAGAGAGGUUUCAUCUGGAAAUGUUGAAGAGUAAAGGGAUUGGAGGAUAAUUAGAGAUUUUUUUUGUAAUUUCUGAAAUUAGACGUUUAGAAUGGUCUAAAAAAUGCAAGAAAACCUCAACUGUUUCUAUCCAAAAAAAAGGAAACAAAAUCCAACCAUUUUUUACGCACUUGAAACACUAGUAGCCAAGUGUGUUUUGUAAAUUUGGAAAUUUUCAUGAAUCCCGGUGUACUAUAAAUAGUGACAUAAUGAUGGUGUUCCAAGCAAAUCAUGCUCGAGUUCAAGUUUUUGGUGCCGUAGCUUGUCUCUCCUGUCCUAUUAGGGUCCUGUUUGCAUCCAACCAGUUGUUUCCAAGAGCUAGGCUUUGAUACUUAAAAUAAGAACCACUAUGGGUAUUUCUAGUUAUAGUUUCUUUCUGUUUUUAUUUGUUGUCAUAAUCCCAACCCUAGAAGCUCAUAUCGCUGAGUAUGACGAGUACUGGACGGCACGAGAAUUGGAAGCCAUUGAGAACCUGGACAAGGCCUAUCACUCCAACCCGGAGGAGGUGGUCCGCCAUUACAAUGACCACUUCUCUAGGACCAUGCUCGAGUUUUAUAUCACCAAAAGGGUGUUGGCAGAAUCAAAAAAGGGUCCCUGUGAGGUUACCAACCACGUUGACAGUUGCUGGCGAUGUGAUCCUGACUGGGAAAAGAAUAGGAAGAAGUUGGCCAACUGUGCCCCUGGAUUUGCUCGAGGUACUACCGGUGGAAAGGAUGGUGAGUUUUACGUGGUCACUGACCCUAUUGAUAAUGCUGCUGACCCCAAGCCUGGAACUCUGCGUCAUGCUGUCACCCAAACUGGACCACUUUGGAUCACUUUCAAAGGGUCCAUGACCAUCAAGCUGCAACAGGAGCUCAUUGUUACAAGUGAUAAGACCAUUGAUGCGAGGGGAGCCAAUGUGGAAAUUUGUAAUGGUGCUGGUAUCACUAUCCAAUUUGUGAAGAAUAUCAUUAUCCAUGGCCUUCAAAUCCAUCACAUUAUUCCCGCCAAGGGUGGCAAGAUCAAGGAUGGUGAAAACCACCAUGGGUUACGGGGUGACAGCGACGGAGACGGGGUGUCUAUUUUUGGAUCAACCAAUGUUUGGCUUGACCAUCUUGCCCUUCACCAUUGCGCCGAUGGCCUUAUCGAUGUCGUUCAAGGAUCAACUGCCGUUACCGUUUCUAACUGCCACUUCACUGACCAUAACGAUGUAAGCUUACUUUCCUUUCAAUUUUAAACUACGCACGAUGAGGAAUUUUUUGAUUGACAAAAAUAAUACAAUUGAAAUGAAAAAAAUUACAGGUGAUGUUGUUUGGAGCAAGCGACUCUUACAGUGCCGACAAGAAGAUGCAGGUCACUGUUGCUUUGAACCACUUCGGUAAAGGAUUGGUAGAGAGGAUGCCUAGGUGCCGAUUUGGUUUUAUUCAUGUCGUCAACAAUGACUACAAUCACUGGUUCCUGUAUGCCAUUGGCGGCACCAGCAACCCUACAAUUAUCAGCCAGGGAAAUAGGUAUUCAGCGCCAGGCUUUGGGGCUAAAGAGGUGACCUGUAGGGGCCUCUUAAAGCCGGGACAGUGGAAGAAUUGGAAUUGGGUAUCACAAGGUGACCACUUCGAGAACGGUGCCUUCUUUACACCAUCAGGUAAUCCAAGUGCCAGCAAGCAAUUUGGCGCCGACAAAAUGAUGCCUUUCAAACCUGGUCAAAUGGUCCCCGAGCUCACAAAGUAUGCCGGACCACUAAGCUGCACAAUCGGCCGUCCUUGCUAAAAAUGCUAUUUUUAUAUGCAUUUGUCCUCCCUUUUUUACGUACAAUAUUUGAUACCCAAGCAUAGUACAUUUGGUAUCUUUUCUGAAUGAUUGUCAGUAAAUUUUCUUUUAUGCGAUCCCACCCUAUUCUCUUCUUCUCUCCUAGUAAUAGAUAAUCACAAUUUUUUUCUCACGCGUGACUGUGGAAAUCAUAAAUUUAGAACAUAAAUGUUUGUUUGAAAAUAACAUAUAAUGAAUAAUGAAAUGUGUGGUUUGAAAUAAAGUAACAAUAAUAACAUUGAUUAUCAUGGUGUUUUCAUCAAUCUUUAGUUGGUGUAGGCACCAAAUCAAUCAAAUACAUUAAUCUAACAUAUCUAGUAUAUAUUCUAUUGCAAGGUUAUUUUGGAUUUGUGGAAACCUUCAGUUUGAAGUGAGUUUAGAAUUCGCUAUGCGUCACCAAUCAUUUCAUGACAGCAAUGGAAAUUAAUGAAAUAAAAUAUUUGGUUAGAACUAAAGUUGCGUAAUUAAUUAAAAAUUUUAACAAUCGCGAGACCAUUUAGUUUCUAUAAAUUUUGCAUGUCCCAACUUACAUAUUCGGGUAAUUAGUCAUUUGUCAAAACACAUCAAAGUGAGAAAAGAAAGAAACAAGAAUCAUGGUCAUUCCUCUAUAGUUAUAUUCGUAAUAAUGCAAUCGCAACGGUGAUUCCACCAGGUGUUCUUGCAUCACCAAGAACUAAAUUGAUUUUCUAGAACAAGAUUUAUAAUGGAGACAUCAAGUAUGUAUUUAAGGUGGUGUAUGAGUUAGAUUUCUUUAAGACUCAGCGGGGGUCGGGGAGCCGCCCAAGACAUUGCUUUUACCAGUAUAAAGUCAAAUACCGAAGCAAAAAAACUUGCAAAGCCGAGAGGACAUAGGAUUAAUAAUUCAGCACCUAUGUUUUGAGUUGCUCCAUAGUUGACGCGUGGUAUCAGCUUAGUAAGGGCUUAAAUAAUCGUAUAGAUAUUUAUAAUUGAUGGACAUAAUAAAGUAUGCUUAACAAAUUUGAAAAUCAAAAAAGAAAAUCAAUGUCUUGGUACAGUGUUAAAUUUAUGGUUUUACUAGCAUAAUAAUUGAUUUGGGUUCAAAUCCCUUCGACAACAUAUUUUAUAUUCUUUUAAAACAAUAAGAAUUAAAAUAACCUUCAAUAAUAUAACUUAUUUUAAACAUGACAGGAAUGUAUUUCUAAUUUCCGUAAUAGAGUCGAUGCUCGAUCGACUCAUGUCACCGAAUUAGUUAAGGACUUCAAUAAAUGUUAGUAUAGAUUGUAACAAUAAUGAAAUAUGCAUUAAAAAUCACCACAGAGGUUCAAUAUACACUCGAAUCUCUGUACUCUUUUAGACUUUUAAAAUUUGAAUACAUAGUGCUUUUAUAUUCAAAGGUCCAAGUAAUAAAUUAGAGUCCAAUUCAUAUCACAUAUUCAGAUUUGAGAGAAAUAAAUAAACUCUCUUACCAAUUGAACUUUUAUUUUUUAAAUCAACCAAGUGCAAGGAUUAAAAUCUUGAAAUUGAAAGGAGAGAGGUUUCAUCUGGAAAUGUUGAAGAGUAAAGGGAUUGGAGGAUAAUUAGAGAUUUUUUUUUGUAAUUUCUGAAAUUAGACGUUUAGAAUGGUCUAAAAAAUACAAGAAAACCUCAACUGUUUCUAUCCAAAAAAAAGGAAACAAAAUCCAACCAUUUUUUACGCACUUGAAACACUAGUAGCCAAGUGUGUUUUGUAAAUUUGGAAAUUUUCAUGAAUCCCGGUGUACUAUAAAUAGUGACAUAAUGAUGGUGUUCCAAGCAAAUCAUGCUCGAGUUCAAGUUUUUGGUGCCGUAGCUUGUCUCUCCUGUCCUAUUAGGGUCCUGUUUGCAUCCAACCAGUUGUUUCCAAGAGCUAGGCUUUGAUACUUAAAAUAAGAACCACUAUGGGUAUUUCUAGUUAUAGUUUCUUUCUGUUUUUAUUUGUUGUCAUAAUCCCAAACCUAGAAGCUCAUAUCGCUGAGUAUGACGAGUACUGGACGGCACGAGAAUUGGAAGCCAUUGAGAACCUGGACAAGGCCUAUCACUCCAACCCGGAGGAGGUGGUCCGCCAUUACAAUGACCACUUCUCUAGGACCAUGCUCGAGUUUUAUAUCACCAAAAGGGUGUUGGCAGAAUCAAAAAAGGGUCCCUGUGAGGUUACCAACCACGUUGACAGUUGCUGGCGAUGUGAUCCUGACUGGGAAAAGAAUAGGAAGAAGUUGGCCAACUGUGCCCCUGGAUUUGCUCGAGGUACUACCGGUGGAAAGGAUGGUGAGUUUUACGUGGUCACUGACCCUAUUGAUAAUGCUGCUGACCCCAAGCCUGGAACUCUGCGUCAUGCUGUCACCCAAACUGGACCACUUUGGAUCACUUUCAAAGGGUCCAUGACCAUCAAGCUGCAACAGGAGCUCAUUGUUACAAGUGAUAAGACCAUUGAUGCGAGGGGAGCCAAUGUGGAAAUUUGUAAUGGUGCUGGUAUCACUAUCCAAUUUGUGAAGAAUAUCAUUAUCCAUGGCCUUCAAAUCCAUCACAUUAUUCCCGCCAAGGGUGGCAAGAUCAAGGAUGGUGAAAACCACCAUGGGUUACGGGGUGACAGCGACGGAGACGGGGUGUCUAUUUUUGGAUCAACCAAUGUUUGGCUUGACCAUCUUGCCCUUCACCAUUGCGCCGAUGGCCUUAUCGAUGUCGUUCAAGGAUCAACUGCCGUUACCGUUUCUAACUGCCACUUCACUGACCAUAACGAUGUAAGCUUACUUUCCUUUCAAUUUUAAACUACGCACGAUGAGGAAUUUUUUGAUUGACAAAAAUAAUACAAUUGAAAUGAAAAAAAUUACAGGUGAUGUUGUUUGGAGCAAGCGACUCUUACAGUGCCGACAAGAAGAUGCAGGUCACUGUUGCUUUGAACCACUUCGGUAAAGGAUUGGUAGAGAGGAUGCCUAGGUGUCCGAUUUGGUUUUAUUCAUGUCGUCAACAAUGACUACAAUCACUGGUUCCUGUAUGCCAUUGGCGGCACCAGCAACCCUACAAUUAUCAGCCAGGGAAAUAGGUAUUCAGCGCCAGGCUUUGGGGCUAAAGAGGUGACCUGUAGGGGCCUCUUAAAGCCGGGACAGUGGAAGAAUUGGAAUUGGGUAUCACAAGGUGACCACUUCGAGAACGGUGCCUUCUUUACACCAUCAGGUAAUCCAAGUGCCAGCAAGCAAUUUGGCGCCGACAAAAUGAUGCCUUUCAAACCUGGUCAAAUGGUCCCCGAGCUCACAAAGUAUGCCGGACCACUAAGCUGCACAAUCGGCCGUCCUUGCUAAAAAUGCUAUUUUUAUAUGCAUUUGUCCUCCCUUUUUUACGUACAAUAUUUGAUACCCAAGCAUAGUACAUUUGGUAUC